rnacentral:rRNA from 1 species
GAUGAACGCUGGCGGCGUGCCUAAUACAUGCAAGCCGAGCGAAUGGAUUAAGAGCUUGCUCUUAUGAAGUUAGCGGCGGACGGGUGAGUAACACGUGGGUAACCUGCCCAUAAGACUGGGAUAACUCCGGGAAACCGGGGCUAAUACCGGAUAACAUUUUGAACCGCAUGGUUCGAAAUUGAAAGGAGGCUUCGGCUGUCACUUAUGGAUGGACCCGCGUCGCAUUAGCUAGUUGGUGAGGUAACGGCUCACCAAGGCAACGAUGCGUAGCCGACCUGGGAGGGUGAUCGGCCACACUGGGACUGAGACACGGCCCAGACUCCUACGGGAGGCAGCAGUAGGGAAUCUUCCGCAAUGGACGAAAGUCUGACGGAGCAACGCCGCGUGAGUGAUGAAGGCUUUCGGGUCGUAAAACUCUGUUGUUAGGGAAGAACAAGUGCUAGUUGAAUAAGCUGGCACCUUGACGGUACCUAACCAGAAAGCCACGGCUAACUACGUGCCAGCCGCCGCCGUAA